rfam:Trachymyrmex cornetzi contig25880, whole genome shotgun sequence.
CAAUCGGCCCUUUUCAGGGCCAACCACAUAGCCUGUACAUAAGACU